UACGUAGGGGGCAAGCGUUGUCCGGAAUCAUUGGGCGUAAAGCGCGUGUAGGCGGUUCGGUAAGUCUGCUGUGAAAGUCCAGGGCUCAACCCUGGGAUGCCGGUGGAUACUGUCGGACUAGAGUACGGAAGAGGCGAGUGGAAUUCCCGGUGUAGCGGUGAAAUGCGUAGAGAUCAGGAAGAACAUCGGUGGCGAAGGCGCUCUGCUGGACCAUAACUGACACUCAGGGACGAAAGCUAGGGGAGCGAAUGGG
rnacentral:rRNA from 1 species